rnacentral:lncRNA from 1 species
AUUUAAAGUGGUGUUUGCUUUACUUGGGCUAUAUGCGGUACUAUGUCAGUUUUGGCAGCACAGUUAGUUUUGUAAGCCCCACCCUGCAACCAGUUAGAGUAGAGCAGCUCCUCUUUUGUGUGAGAGUGUGUCAGACGACGGAUAACUAGAGGUCUCUUUUCUAUCGCUUGGCACUCUGUUGGUAGAGGAUGUGUGCACAGGUCCCCUGUGCUGCGGUACAACUCCGUAUGGUGUAGAGGACCGAGGGGUGCUGUGCUGUAACCAGACCUUGCACCGUGUGGUGGAGGAUGGGUACCAGUGCUCCCCAGGUGGCUACUUGUAUCUGCCAUCCCGUGACAUGGUGUGUGGUUCACACGUUCAUCUCAACGAUCCAGGCAAACACUGCUGUGGAGAGGACACAUACGACCCUCAGUAUGAAAUCUGCUGCAACGGACACAAACACAACAGGUUGAGAAAUGUUUCCUGCUGCGGAGGGAAGGCCUAUUACCACAGCAGUGACCAGAUGAAGUGCUGUGCAGAGACUCUGUACAACCUGCAGGUUCAGGACAGACUCUCAGAGGAGGCCCAGUGCUGUGGGAGUGUCCUGAUGGAGGCUGGCUCCACGCAGACCUGCUGCUCUGCCCCAGGGCUAGACCUGGUCUACCCUACCCAGCCAGGGUUCACCUGCUGUGGGCACCGCUACCCCAACUCCUCCCUGUGGUCAUGCUGCGCGGGGGUCCUGUACUCAAGGCCUGAAACACAAACCACCAGCAAGAACAUGAUUCCAGGACCCAGGCUUCUACCACUGGGCGAUCUGAAGACUGAAGUCCUGUGUUACACCGAAGUUCUGCUGGGGACAGUGGAGAGUGUGUCCAUGAAGACGAAUGAGCGGUCCAUCGUGAUGGUGAACGCCAUGUACAUGCUGGCCUCGCGUGGCCAUGUCAACCCCCUGCCUUCCCCUCACUACGUCACAUUACCCGACCACUGCAGCUCCCCUGUAGUGGAGCCGGGCAACACUUACAUCUUGAUGAAAAUACCUUUCUCAGACACCAUAAGAUUCAUCUCUGAUCUCAGCGAUCAUUCCUCCCCUGUCCAUUCCAUCCUUUCCAGGUGCUGAACCUUUUUCUUGCCCAGAGUAAAGCCCUACAUAACGUUUGAAAGCUUUACAGUGUUUGUUUACAGUUACAUUGUUAACAAUCAAUGGCGUAAUAAAAAGCUUAUCUUGGGUUCUGAUGGGGUUCGACAGUUGAACUAAGAUCAUAAGGCACAAGUUAUAUUCUUCCAGAGUCAAUUGGUAUAUAUCGUUCAUUUAAAAGUCAAAAAAUUGCUGUUGCUAUCACAGAUUGCCUCUUUAAGCUAUCAGUAGACAUUUAAACCAUGUUUGUGAAGUGAUUGUAUCACAUUGUGCAAGGACAGGAUAAAAAGCCUAUUUUAACCAAGCAUUUGUGUGUAGGUGUAUGACUUCACCAUUCAUCAAUUCAUGUGGUUGUGUGGGGGUUUGUGGUUUUGUGGUUGCCUUUAUCCCAUCCACAUAUAUGUACCACAUUAUCUGACACUUGAUCACAGGAUCACAUUUUUGUUUUAUUAUUUCACUGCCAAUCUGUGUUUGAUCUUGUCUAGCCAUCUUGUAUCAAGAGGACCACAAAAGUCCUAGACUUUAUUGUGUGUUAUCCUCCAUGAUUAUAUUCAUGUGCAUCUAUGACUUUUAAGUUUUAUGUGUGCUUGUUUUUUUAAAUGGUCGAAUUAAUAAACUAAACUAAAUAAAGGGCACCUAGGGCACUGAGUCUUUGGCUGCGUUUAUGAGCAAAGUGAAAUUAUGAAUAAAAUAUUGUAAAACUGAUAUAUACUGAACAGAAAUAUAAACACAACAUGUAAAGUGUUGGUCCCAUGCCUUAUGAGCUGAAAUAAAAAAUCCCAGAAAUGUUUCCAUAUGCACAAAAAGCUUAUUUCUCUCUAAUGUUGUGCACAACUUUUGUUUACAUCUCCUGUUAAUAAUCACUUCUCAUUUGCCAAGAUAAUCCAUCCACCUGACAAGUGUGGCACAUCAAGAAGCUGAUUAUACAAUAUGAUCAUUACACAGAUGCACCUUGUGCUGGGGACAAUAAAAGGACACUCUAAAAUGUGCAGUUUUGUCACACAACACAAUGCCACAGACGUCUCAACUUUUGAGGGAUGCGCAAUUGGCAUGGU